GGUGUUUUGAGACUUGUUAUUGAUUUUACUAUCCACAAACACCUCAUUUGCUUUAUAAUUCUUUUUUUUAGUUGUUGAAUGAUAUAGGGGUCCUAUUAUGUUUGUGAGUCUUAUUCCCUAAAAUCAGGUUUGUGUUUUAAUUUAACAAUUCGAGUGCAUUGCAUUGAAUUUAGAAAUUGAGGGUUGUGUGGAUCCUAAUAGAGGUUAAUAAAACAUCCUCUUGUUCUCGAGCUAACAACAAAGCCUAUUCAAUAUAAAGAUUCAAUCUUUAUGCCCUAUUUCA